rnacentral:misc_RNA from 1 species
UCGUAACAAGGUUUCCGUAGGUGAACCUGCGGAAGGAUCAUUAAUUAUGUUAAAGCGCCUUACCUUAGGGUUUCCUCUGGGGUAAGUGAUUGCUUCUACACUGUGAAAAUUUGGCUGAGAGACUCAGACUGGUCAUGGGUAGACCUAUCUGGGGUUUGAUCGAUGCCACUCCUGGUUUCAGGAGUACCCUUCAUAAUAAACCUAGAAAUUCAGUAUUAUAAAGUUUAAUAAAAAACAACUUUUAACAAUGGAUCUCUUGGUUCUCGCAUCGAUGAAGAACGUAGCAAAGUGCGAUAACUAGUGUGAAUUGCAUAUUCAGUGAAUCAUCGAGUCUUUGAACGCAGCUUGCACUCUAUGGUUUUUCUAUAGAGUACGCCUGCUUCAGUAUCAUCACAAACCCACACAUAACAUUUGUUUAUGUGGUGAUGGGUCGCAUCGCUGUUUUAUUACAGUGAGCACCUAAAAUGUGUGUGAUUUUCUGUCUGGCUUGCUAGGCAGGAAUAUUACGCUGGUCUCAGGAUCUUUUUUUUUGGUUCGCCCAGGAAGUAAAGUACAAGAGUAUAAUCCAGUAACUUUCAAACUAUGAUCUGAAGUCAGGUGGGAUUACCCGCUGAACCUAAGCAUAUCAAU